rnacentral:rRNA from 1 species
CGGGACGGGUGAGUAAUGUCUGGGAAACUGCCUGAUGGAGGGGGAUAACUACUGGAAACGGUAGCUAAUACCGCAUAACGUCGCAAGACCAAAGAGGGGGACCUUAGGGCCUCUUGCCAUCGGAUGUGCCCAGAUGGGAUUAGCUAGUAGGUGGGGUAACGGCUCACCUAGGCGACGAUCCCUAGCUGGUCUGAGAGGAUGACCAGCCACACUGGAACUGAGACACGGUCCAG